rnacentral:rRNA from 1 species
CCUACGGGAGGCUGCAGUAGGGAAUAUUGCUCAAUGGGGGAGACCCUGAAGCAGCAACGCCGCGUGGAGGAUGACGGUUUUCUGAUUGUAAACUCCUUUUUUUAGAGAAGAUAAUGACGGUAUCUAACGAAUAAGCACCGGCUAACUCCAUGCCAGCAGCCCCGGUAAUACGGAGGGUGCAAGCGUUAAUCGGCAUCACUGGGCGUAAAGAGCGCGUAGGCGGGAUAGCAAGUCAGAUGUGAAAUCCUAUGGCUUAACCAUAGAACUGCAGUUGAAACUGUUAUUCUAGAGUAUGGGAGAGGUAGGUGGAAUUCUUGGUGUAGGGGUAAAAUGCGUAGAGAUCAAGAGGAAUACUCAUUGCGAAGGCGACCUGCUAGAACAUAACUGACGCUGAUGCGCGAAAGCGUGGGGAGCAAACAGGAUUAGAUACCCGGGUAGUC